rnacentral:lncRNA from 1 species
GGAUAACAUCCAUGGCGUCCUUAACGACAAGAAAAGCUAAGUUAUCUAUUUCUCUUCACUUUAUUGAACUCUUGGGAAUCAAUCAUGUUUCUUCUGCUAGGUAUCAUAGCUAGUAUUGAUUUGAACACUUGAAUAUUGGUUUAAUUGGUCGGGAUAUGGACAUAACAUGGUGUCAGAUGGGACUUCGCUUAUACAGCAGUGCUAAUUCCGCUCUAAAUUGAUGAAACAAUGUUGCAUGGAUGGUGAAUUGUUUAUUGUGACUUGCAUUAUUUUGGAAAUACUUUGUGGAUUUCUUGGAAUUAAAUUGAACUACCCUGACCUCACUAAUUCACUUACUGACAUCGAUUUGUUCAGGAACACAUUAUCUAAAUUUUUGAACUGAAAUUUACACUCAGGUUAUCUAAAUUAUGGGAAAUUGAUGUGGCAGCGUUGUUUUGUGUUUUUUCUAUAAUCUCAUAGCAGAGCUGGUGUUGGAGCUAGGAGCUUGUUGAACUUCCAAGUGUCAUAUUGGACAAGUCUUCAAUUUGGCUGUUACGGCACUCCAG